rnacentral:rRNA from 1 species
AUUGAACGCUGGCGGCAGGCCUAACACAUGCAAGUCGAACGAGUGGCGGACGGGUGAGUAAUGUCUGGGAAACUGCCUGAUGGAGGGGGAUAACUACUGGAAACGGUAGCUAAUACCGCAUACCAUCGGAUGUGCCCAGAUGGGAUUAGCUAGUAGGGGGGGUAAAGGCUCACCUAGGCGACGAUCCCUAGCUGGUCUGAGAGGAGGACCAGCCAACCUGGAACUGGACAAGGGUCCAGACUCCUACGGGGGGGAGAAGUGGGGAAUAUUGCACAAUGGGGGCAGGCCUGAUGCAGCCAUGCCGGGUGUAUGAAGAAGGCCUUCGGGUUGUAAAGUCCGUUCAGCGGGGAGGCGUUACCCGCAGAAGAAGCACCGGCUAACUCCGUGCCAGCAGCCGCGGUAUUC